AUUCUGAUCAUCAGUGGAUGCUUGUAAAUUUUGAGAUUGGUUCCCUUGGUCUAUGUGUUGUUUUUGAAUGCAAAGUAAAGAUGCUUCGCCAAAAACUGCAGCUGCUUCUUCUGCAGCACCUAGUAUACACAACUCCUCAUAUGCAGCCCAUAGCAAUGGAUUCAAUAACAAUGCCUGGUUGAAAUGAUGGAUGGAACUAUUUCUUCUAUCUGUAUACCUGUAAAUAAGACCAAGAAGGUAAUGCCCAGCUGCA
rnacentral:misc_RNA from 1 species